GAUGAAGAACGUAGUGAAAUGCGAUAAGUAAUGCGAAUUGCAGAAUUUCCGUGAGUCAUCGAAUCUUUGAACGCACAUUGCGCCCCUUGGUAUUCCGGGGGGCAUGCCUGUUCGAGCGUCAUUUCAACCCUCAAGCUCUGCUUGGUAUUGGGCCCGGUGGGCGAUUGCCUACCAGCCUUAAAGAGAGUGGCGGUGCCCCGCGGCCCUGAGCGUAGUAACUACUCCCGCUAUAGGUGUCCACGGGCUCACCAGCCAGCAACCCCAACUUUCUAUGGUUGACCUCGGAUCAGGUAGGGAUACCCGCUGAACUUAAGCAUAUCAAUAAGCGGAGGA
rnacentral:misc_RNA from 1 species